GUCGAGAAUCUUCCGCAAUGGGCGCAAGCCUGACGGAGCGACGCCGCGUGGAGGACGAAGGCCUUCGGGUUGUAAACUCCUGUCACGAGUUAAGAAGGUGCUGCUGCGAACAGCGGUAGCAUUUGACGUAAGCUCGAGAGGAAGCACUGGCUAACUCUGUGCCAGCAGCCGCGGUAAUACAGAGAGUGCAAACGUUGUUCGGAAUUACUGGGCUUAAAGCGCACGUAGGCGGCGCCGCAAGUGUGGGGUGAAAGCCCACGGCUUACCCGUGGAAUAGCCUGGCAGACUGCGGUGCUUGAGUGUGGUAGGGGAGAGCGGAACUCCUGGUGGAGCGGUGAAAUGCGUAGAUAUCAGGAGGAACACCGGUGGCGAAGGCGGCUCUCUGGUCCACAACUGACGCUGAGGUGCGAAAGCUAGGGGAGCAAACGGGAUUAGAAACCCCUGUAGUCC
rnacentral:rRNA from 1 species